CGUGCCUAAUACAUGCAAGUCGAACGGUCUUUCUAUGGAAGCUUGCUUCCACUGAGAAGAUAGUGGCGAACGGGUGAGUAACACGUGGGUAACCUGCCCAUAAGAGGGGGAGUAACAUCCGGAAACGGGUGCUAAUACCGCAUAGUUUUCUUGAUCGCAUGAUCGGGAAAGGAAAGACGGCCUUUGUGCUGUCGCUUAUGGAUGGACCCGCGGCGUAUUAGUUAGUUGGUGAGGUAACGGCUCACCAAGACGAUGAUACGUAGCCGACCUGAGGGGGUGAUCGGCCACAUUGGGACUGAGACACGGCCCAAACUCCUACGGGAGGCAGCAGUAGGGAAUCUUCCGCAAUGGACGAAAGUCUGACGGAGCAACGCCGCGUGAGUGAAGAAGGUUUUUCCGGAUCGUAAAACUCUGUUGUCAGAGAAGAACAAGUUGCAGAGUAACUGCUCCAGCCUUGACGGUAUCUGACCAGAAAGCCACGGCUAACUACGUGCCAGCCGCCGC
rnacentral:rRNA from 1 species